GACGCCUACGUAAACAAGUCGACAAGUAAGAUACACACAUGCACACAAAUACAUACAUACAUACAUACAUACACACACACACACACACACACACACACACUAAUACACUGUAAAAAAAAAAAAAAAAAAACCUCACUCAGCUCAAACACAACCAGGAAAAAAGUUUUAAAUCUCCAACAAUAAAAAGAGUUCUGAGCCAGGGACGUCUACAGUACAGGUGAGGAGGUGUCUACAGGUGAAGGAGUCUACAGGUGAGGGACGUCUACAGGUGAAGGACGUCUACAGGUGAAGGAGUCUACAGGUGAAGGAGUCUACAGGUGAGGAGUUGUCUACAGGUGAAGGAGUCUACAGGUGAAGGAGGUGUCUACAGGUGAAGGAGUCUACAGGUGAGGAGGUGUCUACAGGUGAAGGAGUCUACAGGUGAAGGACGUCUACAGGUGAAGGAGUCUACAGGUGAGGGACGUCUACAGGUGAAGGAGUCUACAGGUGAGGAGUUGUCUACAGGUGAAGGAGUCUACAGGUGAAGGAGGUGUCUACAGGUGAAGGAGUCUACAGGUGAGGAGGUGUCUACAGGUGAAGGAGUCUACAGGUGAAGGAGGUGUCUACAGGUGAAGGAGGAGUCUACAGGUGAAGGAGUCUACAGGUGAAGGAGUCUACAGGUGAAGGAGGAGUCUACAGGUGAAGGAGGUGUCUACAGGUGAGAAGCAAAGUUUAAAUUUAACAUGAAUUUUAACAUCUGUUUUCAUCUAAACCAGAUUAAUCUGUUACCGACUUCAAUUAGUCCCGUUCGAGUCCUUCUGUUAUCUACUAGUGUUAAUGUUUCCAAACAAAGUAUUUAAAAAAUCUGAACACAGUCUCUGAAGGUCAGGGGUCAGAGGUCAGGGGACCAGAGGUCAUAUUCAGAUCUAACUAACCACCGUCUGUUUGAUGGACAGAAACACUUUGACAGAUUGAGCUUCAUUCACACAACAAUAAAAAACAAAGAAGAAAAAGGCUGUGAAGUAAACA